CAUUCAUUGUACUAAAAGUGAGUGGUACAUCAGUAUGUGAUUUGGAUGUUACCCUUGGAUGAGGAUCCCCUAGUUGACUAGUAAAUUUGGGGACCAAAUUUUUAUUAGUGGGGGAGAAUGUAAGAUGCCGUAAAAAAAAAAAAUUUUAUUAGACGAAAAAUCUUAUUAGAUUUUUCAGGAAUUUUUAGGAUUUUUUUGGGAAUUAAAUGGGGUCCGUAUGAUUCGUUUUAAAGGGAUGGAUUCGGGGUACAGAGGAAGCCUGUUUGGAACCCAUUUAAAUGGGAAUUGAUUGAUGAUUAAACUUAGAGUUAAUUAAAUUAAAACUAAGUUUAUUCCUUAUUAUUAUUUUCUUUUCUCUUAUUUCCCGAUUUUUCUCCUCCUUCCCGAUUCCUUCUGCCCGAGACACCCUUCCCUCUCCUAGCGAUUUCUCCGCCCGAUCACCGACGCCAAGCCUCCUUCCCCCCUCUCCCUCUCAAGGUGUGGAGCCUCUUCCCACUUGCUCCGACUCCUUUCCCCUCUUUCGCCCGAUUGAUGCCGACUAUCUCAAAUUCUCGGCGCGGACCACUCGAGCACUGAUUUGGCGGUCGUCUUUCCAGCCCUAGCCGGGGAUACCAGGAACUCGCCGGAAAUCGAGUGCAUGAGCAGGCACUGUUGCCCCUUUGAUGGUGACAAUUCCAGCCAUCAGCGUUCCUUCUCUGCCCCAGCUCACUGCCAUUGUAGCAUCUUGAUUUCCUCUGAGAGGGAUCAAGGAUAUUGUCUAGGGCCGGCAGUAGCUUCGCUGUAGCAAGUUUCUCCGGCUUUGGUUUGACAACAGUGCCAUCAGAUUUGAAUAAGUCAUAGAGGAGGAGUUGGAUCAAUAUUGUGGAUCUUCCCCUGUGCCGAUCACUGCCCUUCUUCAAUUCUUUUGGCUAAGGCCUUUGGUAGCUCUCGGUUGAAGAGGAGUUCUUGGUGGCUGUGGACAGAGGUUAGUAGGGGCUAUGAGCUCUUGAUUUGUGGCCAUAUCUUAAGGACUUGGAGUCGGGACGAGCGUCUCGGCGUAGGAUUAGUUUAUCUGACAUGGUCUACAGAUAAAGGUAGAAGGUUGGGGUGUCGCUUGGAGUAUCCUGUCUACCGGGUCCUACGUCACAUCCGAAG